CCUACGGGAGGCAGCAGUGAGGAAUAUUGGUCAAUGGACGAGAGUCUGAACCAGCCAAGUAGCGUGAAGGAUGACUGCCCUAUGGGUUGUAAACUUCUUUUAUAAAGGAAUAAAACGAGGCACGUGUGCCUUUCUGCAUGUACUUUAUGAAUAAGGAUCGGCUAACUCCGUGCCAGCAGCCGCGGUAAUACGGAGGAUCCGAGCGUUAUCCGGAUUUAUUGGGUUUAAAGGGUGCGUAGACGGGUUGUUAAGUCAGUUGUGAAAGUGUGCGGCUCAACCGUAAAAUUGCAAUUGAUACUGGCAGUCUUGAGUACAGUUGAGGUAAGCGGAAUUCGUGGUGUAGCGGUGAAAUGCUUAGAUAUCACGAAGAACCCCGAUUGCGAAGGCAGCUUACUAAACUGUGACUGACAUUGAUGCUCGAAAGUGUGGGUAUCAAACAGGAUUAGAUACCCGAGUAGUC
rnacentral:rRNA from 1 species